GGGGGAACCUGAUCCAGCCAUGCCGCGUGAUGAUGAAGGCCUUAGGGUUGUAAAAUUCUUUCGAUAGGGAAGAUAAUGACGGUACCUAUUAAAGAAUCCCCGGCUAACUCCGUGCCAGCAGCCGCGGUAAUACUUCGUGCCAGCAGCCGCGGUAAUACA
rnacentral:rRNA from 1 species